GAAAGGGAAACGAUUGAAGUCAGUCGUACCUGCGGGUAAUCAGCCUUUUGGGCAUGAUUCUGUGGAGCGUGAGGAGUUAAACGCCUUCAUGCCUGCAUAUUCGUGUACUUUGGGUGUACUUGCCCGUGUGGUUAGUUAACAUCAAUUUUGGUUAUCAUAAAAUGGCUGGAGGAAUGUAGCUUCGAUUUCGAUUGAAGUGUUAUAGCCUUCGGCAGAUGUGAUGAUCGGGAUUGAGGAUUGCAACGGAUACCCUUCGGGGCUACCUGUCUGGUCUCUGAUCGUUGCUCUGGUGCCGAAAGCGUGCUUACGGUCAUCAAAGUCGAUGGUUAAUAGGUUAGAACGGGUUAAAUUCGUUAAGGAUGUUGACGUA
rnacentral:rRNA from 1 species